AUGAGCAGCAUGUGGACUGAGUGCAGCGCAGCGUGCGCGCACACUCACACGCCUGCUUGCAGGAACUGCCGGCCGCUCCUGGAGAGGGAAGAGGGCGGUUCCAGGGGGCUGGGGGCCUGCCAAGAGGCUAAUGGAACACAGCUGGGCCGGCCCGCCAGGCUGGAGGAGGAGGGAGACCGCGAGGGUUCGGCGGCUGCGGAGGCACUGGCCAUUGGCCUGCACCGCCGCGCUCCUGGCCUGGCCCUGCGCCCGGGCCCGCCCGUCCCGCUUCCCCAGCCAGGUGAACAAGCUGCCAGUCUGUGGUCAUCUGCAGAGGGACGCUUUACUGGACAGGUCCUACAAGAAGCCAGGAGCUUCCUUGUGGAGCCCAGCAUCCUCCUCCCAGAGACCUUGGACUCAGAUGUUAUCAGAUGUCCACCCCCAGAACUCCCUUCCUCUCAUCUCCAGGGACUGUCGCUGGCCUACAGCCCAACCAAUGAGCUUAAAUCGAUCUCUGUGAUGAGCCCCAAUUACUGGUCUCAGGACCCUGCCUCAGCAUGGGUCUGGGGUUCCAGGAGAAAGAAGAUAGGACAGUCAUACACCAGCCUUUUCCCUCAGGGAAUUCUUUCAGCACCACGGGCAGCACCCGACUUGGGUAGAUCCUACAGAGGUCCCUGGACAGCUACAGAAGCACCUAUUGCCUACAAGCCCUUCCUUACCGCCACCUCCCACCACUCACCACUGAGCUACAGCCCCAGCUGGUUAGAAUGUCUGCCUAGUAUACACGGGCUUUGGGUUUAAUCCCGUUCAAAAACUGUAGGAAUUAUUAUUACCUACCCCGCAGUGCAAAGGAGGAAACCAAGGCUCGCCAAACUAUAAAUUUUCUUUGUUUGGUUGGUU